rnacentral:lncRNA from 1 species
GAAAAGUAGAGAGAGGAGUAUUCUUAUUUGAUACUUAGGGAUGAUUUACGAUGGGGUAAGACCCCUCUAUUUAUAGGCAUAGAAAAGACAUAGCCUCAAAGUAAAACUCUUCUAUAAGAUAGACAUUCACUCUAAUUAGAGUUCUAUUUAUAACACAUAUACAUUUGUUUUACUGUCUCCUUGCAAUACAGCUAUAGAAUCACACGAACCAACUUCAUUGAUUUAGUCUCUACUCAUUGAAUGGAUUUGAACAACUUGUGAUCAAACCAACCAACAACUUGUGAUCAAACCAACCAACUUAACCUUCUGAACUUCAUCAAAUCAGUAGGCAUACACUACUCACUGCACUUAAGCUGAUUUUGAAUUCAUUCACAUAAGAACUAGGCUAAGUAGAAAUUUUCAACACAUGCUAGAAAAGAAAAAGAUCAAUACAUCUAAAGGAUUAAUGGAUAUCAAUAACAAACGAACGAACUAAACACAGGUUAGGGAAUUUAAAACACCGGAUUUACAUUCAGAAAUUCAUGCCAGGUGAUUACAGAAUGUAAAACGUACCUGAGUGCAGAAAACUAGAUGUUAAAGAACCAAAUAAAGGUCAAAGAACCAAUAUAUGAAGCCAAGUCUAACAAAGAAAUGUCGGCAGCAGCUAGAAGAACAACAAUAGCAACAGAGCAGUAACCAAAAGAAACCCAGAAUAUUGGACUAAACCAAUUUUUAAUGGUAGAGAUAGUGAACAUAGGGAUACAGAGAGUUGUUUCUGUUUUCAAAUCCUCUUGGGAACUCAGCAAAAAAGAAGGAAAAUCAAUUCAAAAUGAAGCUCUUUUUCGAGAAUUUCUUGCAUUUCAAAGAAGCCUUUUAGGUGGCAUAUGUUGAUUAUAAUCUAUCGCUGAGUGACUGAAGGUCUGCCU